rnacentral:rRNA from 1 species
UACGAAGGGUGCAAGCGUUACUCGGAAUUACUGGGCGUAAAGCGUGCGUAGGCGGUUUGUUAAGUCUGUCGUGAAAGCCCCGGGCUCAACCUGGGAAUGGCGAUGGAUACUGGCGAGCUAGAGUACGGUAGAGGAGAGUGGAAUUCCCGGUGUAGCAGUGAAAUGCGUAGAGAUCGGGAGGAACAUCAGUUGCGAAGGCGAGUCCCUGGACAACUCCUGACACUGAGGCACGAAAGCUAGGGGAGCAAACAGG